CGCCAGUGAAUAUUAUCAUUUAUCCAUUUUCAUAACAGUCCUCUACUCAUGAAUAUGACUAAUUUUAUGAUGUCGGUGAUGAUUACGAAAACCUUAAACAUUAACAGCAGUUUUACUAAUGUUUGCGACACGCGAAAACCGAAGAAAAUACUAAAAUAAGGACGUUUAUUGAUGAAAAGAUGCGGUGGAGAUAAAAUUUAAUGAGAAUUAAUUGGGUAGGUUUUAUUACAACCUUGUAUGAAAGUUAUUUAAUUAAAAAAUUCUAAAAUAAAUGAAGCUAUUUCAAAAAUA